CUAGGCUGCUUGACUUCUCUUAGGCUUUUGGGCAUUGGUGACUCUGAAAAUUUAGAAUACUAGUUUGAAGAUAUGCAAGGCCUCAAGCAUCUUCGAACGCUGAUUAUUAGCGAAUGUGAAAGCUUAAUCUCAUUGCCUCAAAGUAUGAAGUACCUCACUGCAUUAGAGACUCUUGUUAUCGAGGAUUGUGAAAAACUCAAUUUGAUGAUGGAGGAAGGGGAAGGCGACUGGGCUCCAUUCAGCCUUCAAAGGCUGAUACUCAAUGGGUUACCAGAAUUGGUAGAGUUGCCAGAAUGGUUUCUUCGAGGAUCCACCAACACUCUGCAACUCUUAAAACUAGAUAGUUGUAGAAACCUCAAAGAAUUGCCUGCGUGCCUACAGAAUAUAGUAUCUCUUCAACAAAUUGUGAUUGAGUGUUGUGAUAAAUUGAGCCAAAGAUGUGAACGUGGAGAAGGUGAAGAUUGGUCCAAGAUUGCUCAUAUCCCUAAAAUUGUUCUUGACGGUUCUGAGAUCAAUUCAACAGAUGAUUCUCACAUCGAUUCAACAAGUGAAGAUUAGAUAUCAUGGCAACUCUGCUGAAAAUGCCAACUGCUGAAUGUAACAAUGUUUGUAUUUGAUGUUGUGCUUGUUCUGUGCUGUAAAUUGCCAAUGCAUGUGUUUUAUAUUGUAAAUAAUACUUAAGAAACUUGUAAAUCUACUGUUUGUAUCUCUAAACUGUUGUUUCUUUUACUUUUAUAUUGUAAAUAUAAAAAGUAUUUAUAUUGUAAAUAUAAAAGGUAUUUAUGUCCUAAGAAAUUUUGCACAUGAUGGAAAGCUU
rnacentral:misc_RNA from 1 species